rnacentral:sRNA from 1 species
GGAAAGACAUAAUUCUGAAAAGGAGCAUGUUUUUCAUUUCCACACAUGCAUGUGUAUCACUAUGGACAUCUAAUGUAUGUAUUGAUAUGCGUAUGGUUGUUGUUUAUAAUUGCUAUUGUAUAUAAAAAAAGUAAAAGGCAAUUUAUAAUAUAAUUAACUACUAAUAUUUUGUUCUGAAGAGUUAAAUAUAUAUAUAAAUGCAUUCAUCAAUAAUAUGAUUUUUCAGCUUCAAACAUUAUCAUAAGCACUACUUAUCUUAUAUCUACAUAUUUAGCAUUAACUUGUUCCUUUUUUAAUUUUUCUUCGUAAUUUUUAUUAAUUAAAAAAUUGAUCCCAAGACAUUUGAGACCAUGUAAAAUAAAGAAAGACAACUCUUAAACAGGAUCUUUCAUACCAAGAUUUUUGCAAUAAUUAAGUAUUUCCUUUAAUUUUUCAAUUUCAUUCAAUUUCUUUUCUUCAUCCCAUUCACCAACGAAUAUUGUUUAUAUUUUCAGGUUUUUGUGGGAUUUUGUCCAGCAGUUUGCCUUAAAAGAAUUUUUUUUAUAUUUUAGUUUCAUAUUUAUGUGGAUUCCAAUAAAAAUCAUACAAACUUC